UUAGGUUGGUGCAAAAGUAAUUGCAGUUUUUGUAUUGAAAUUAAUGGCAAAACUGCAAUUACUUUUUCACCAACCUAAUAUCUUA
rnacentral:miRNA from 1 species